rnacentral:rRNA from 1 species
CCUGGCUCAGGAUGAACGCUAGCUACAGGCUUAACACAUGCAAGUCGAGGGGCAGCAUGGUCUUAGCUUGCUAAGACUGAUGGCGACCGGCGCACGGGUGAGUAACACGUAUCCAACCUGCCGUCUACUCUUGGACAGCCUUCUGAAAGGAAGAUUAAUACAAGAUGGCAUCAUGAGUCCGCAUGUUCACAUGAUUAAAGGUAUUCCGGUAGACGAUGGGGAUGCGUUCCAUUAGAUAGUAGGCGGGGUAACGGCCCACCUAGUCUUCGAUGGAUAGGGGUUCUGAGAGGAAGGUCCCCCACAUUGGAACUGAGACACGGUCCAAACUCCUACGGGAGGCAGCAGUGAGGAAUAUUGGUCAAUGGGCGAGAGCCUGAACCAGCCAAGUAGCGUGAAGGAUGACUGCCCUAUGGGUUGUAAACUUCUUUUAUAAAGGAAUAAAGUCGGGUAUGGAUACCCGUUUGCAUGUACUUUAUGAAUAAGGAUCGGCUAACUCCGUGCCAGCAGCCGCGGUAAUACGGAGGAUCCGAGCGUUAUCCGGAUUUAUUGCGUUAAAGGGAGCGUAGAUGGAUGUUUAAGUCAGUUGUGAAAGUUUGCGGCUCAACCGUAAAAAUGCAGUUGAUACUGGAUAUCUUGAGUGCAGUUGAGGCAGGCGGAAUUCGUGGUGUAGCGGUGAAAUGCUUAGAUAUCACGAAGAACUCCGAUUGCGAAGGCAGCCUGCUAAGCUGCAACUGACAUUGAGGCUCGAAAGUGUGGGUAUCAAACAGGAUUAGAUACCCUGGUAGUCCACACGGUAAACGAUGAAUACUCGCUGUUUGCGAUAUACUGCAAGCGGCCAAGCGAAAGCGUUAAGUAUUCCACCUGGGGAGUACGCCGGCAACGGUGAAACUCAAAGGAAUUGACGGGGGCCCGCACAAGCGGAGGAACAUGUGGUUUAAUUCGAUGAUACGCGAGGAACCUUACCCGGGCUUAAAUUGCAGAUGAAUUACGGUGAAAGCCGUAAGCCGCAAGGCAUCUGUGAAGGUGCUGCAUGGUUGUCGUCAGCUCGUGCCGUGAGGUGUCGGCUUAAGUGCCAUAACGAGCGCAACCCUUGUUGUCAGUUACUAACAGGUUCCGCUGAGGACUCUGACAAGACUGCCAUCGUAAGAUGUGAGGAAGGUGGGGAUGACGUCAAAUCAGCACGGCCCUUACGUCCGGGGCUACACACGUGUUACAAUGGGGGGUACAGAGGGCCGCUACCACGCGAGUGGAUGCCAAUCCCCAAAACCUCUCUCAGUUCGGACUGGAGUCUGCAACCCGACUCCACGAAGCUGGAUUCGCUAGUAAUCGCGCAUCAGCCACGGCGCGGUGAAUACGUUCCCGGGCCUUGUACACACCGCC